rnacentral:ncRNA from 2 species
UAUAAUAAAAAUAGUGUAUGGUGUUCUAAAUUUUUAGAACUUAAUAGGGAAGUGAAGUGAAAUUCUUCCACGGUCCCGCCACUGUAAGAUGGAGUCUUCUAUAAAAUCCACUGAAAAUUUUUUGGGAAGGAAUAGAAAAUGUUGAAAUCAAGUCAGGAUACCUGCCUACACUAACCUAAAAAC